GAUGAACGCUGGCGGCGUGCCUAAUACAUGCAAGUCGAGCGAACAGACGAGGAGCUUGCUCCUCUGACGUUAGCGGCGGACGGGUGAGUAACACGUGGAUAACCUACCUAUAAGACUGGGAUAACUUCGGGAAACCGGAGCUAAUACCGGAUAAUAUAUUGAACCGCAUGGUUCAAUAGUGAAAGACGGUUCUGCUGUCACUUAUAGAGGGAUCCGCGCCGCAUUAGCUAGUUGGUAAGGUAACGGCUUACCAAGGCGACGAUGCGUAGCCGACCUGAGAGGGUGAUCGGCCACACUGGAACUGAGACACGGUCCAGACUCCUACGGGAGGCAGCAGUAGGGAAUCUUCCGCAAAGGGCGAAAGCUUGACGGAGCCACGCCGCGUGAGUGAUGAAGGUCUUCGGAUCGUAAAACUCUGUUAUUAGGGAAGAACAAAUGUGUAAGUAACUAUGCACGUCUUGACGGUACCUAAUCAGAAAGCCACGGCUAACUACGUG
rnacentral:rRNA from 1 species